rnacentral:rRNA from 1 species
UAAAGAAAGCGUAAUAGCUCACUGGUCGAGUCGGCCUGCGCGGAAGAUGUAACGGGGCUAAACCAUGCACCGAAGCUGCGGCAGCGACACUGUGUGUUGUUGGGUAGGGGAGCGUUCUGUAAGCCUGUGAAGGUGGCAUGUGAGGGUUGCUGGAGGUAUCAGAAGUGCGAAUGCUGACAUAAGUAACGAUAAAGCGGGUGAAAAGCCCGCUCGCCGGAAGAC